UCGGGAAUUUUGGGCAAUGGGCGAAAGCCUGACCCAGCAACGCCGCGUGAAGGAUGAAGUAUUUCGGUAUGUAAACUUCGAAAGAAUAGGAAGAAUAAAUGACGGUACUAUUUAUAAGGUCCGGCUAACUACGUGCCAGCAGCCGCGGUAAUACGUAGGGACCAAGCGUUGUUCGGAUUUACUGGGCGUAAAGGGCGCGUAGGCGGCAAUUCAAGUCAUCUGUGAAAUCUCCGGGCUUAACUCGGAACGGUCAGAUGAUACUGCUUUGCUAGAGUGCAGAAGGGGCAAUCGGAAUUCUUGGUGUAGCGGUGAAAUGCGUAGAUAUCAAGAGGAACACCUGAGGUGAGGACGGGUUGCUGGGCUGACACUGACGCUGAGGCGCGAAAGCCAGGGGAGCAAACGGGAUUAGAUACCCACGUAGUCCCUGAGCGGGCUGGCAAGGCGCAU
rnacentral:rRNA from 1 species